GCUGGGCCCGGUGGUGCAUGCCUGUAGUCCUAGCUACUCGGAAGGCUGAGGCUGGAGAAUCCCUUGAGUUCAGGAGUUCUGGGCUGUAGUGCACUAUACCGAUCGGGCGUCUGCACUGAGUUUGGCAUCAGUAUGGUGACCUCCCAGGAGCGGGGGACCACCAGGUUGCCUAAGGAGGGGUGAACUGGCCCAGGUCGGAAACGGAGCAGGUUAAAACUCCCGUGCUGAUCAGUAGUAGGAUUGUGCCUGUGAAUAGCCACUGCACUCUAGCCUGGACAACAUAGUGAGACCCUGCCUCUA
ensembl:misc_RNA Metazoa_SRP Metazoan signal recognition particle RNA